CGGAGAUUGGUGAGUUGGAUCUGCUGGCUGGGUCCCACUGGCCGUGUGUGUCUUGGGAGGAGAGCCAUGCUAGAUUCCCAGGAGGGGAGAAAGAAAGCUCCCGUUUAUUCAUAGGCCAGCCAGCCCUCCCAUCCUGACCUCUGCAUCCUUCUCCCUCCAGGGGAACCAUCACAAGCCCCCCAGCACUGACCUGAAGACCUGCGACAAGAAGAACACCAGCAAGUGCUCCCUGGGCUGAGGACCCCCUGUGGCCUUCCCACCCUGAGCCUGGAGGUGGAGCCGGGGAAGCCAGGGCUGAGGGACUGCACAGGGAGGGGGGCAGCGGUGCCUGAAAGGCAGGUUGGUGGUGAGGAGCCUAGGAGAAGACAGAGAAGGGAAAGAAGGAAACCAGGGGCCAGGAGAAGUGCAGGAAGGAACAGAGGAAGUGAAGGAAGGUGAGGGGGAGGAUGAGAGGGAGGAGGGAGGAAGGGUAGGACAGAUAGCCUCAGGCCGUGGACUUUUUCUGGUUUUUUAGGUCACGAAUAUAUGUAAAUAUAUCGAUUUAUUUUGAUACUCGAUCAGGUUUUCGAGUCCUGUGAGAGGCUGGCUCAGCCCUACUCUCUGAAGGUUUGUCACGCUGCAUGGUCUUCCUCUGUAUUAAAGGCCAUUCUUUGCACAAAUGUCCCCCUGUUUGGGAAACUUUCAUUGUUGUCACUCAAACCCAGGUCUUACCUCUCCCGCGUUGGUUCCCUGGAGUCUGGCUGGGUGCAUCUCUCCCUUUCCCAGAUGUUUGGCUGGUGAGGAAGACAGCGGAGCAGGAGGCAGAGUGACCUGAGGGACUGAACCCCCUCUUUCCAUCGUGGGGUUUCAGGACUAAGGAUCACUAUGAUCAUAGCCUUGUCCUUAGCACAGGAAAUUCCAAGAGAGGACUUGAUGAGCCCUAGCGUCAGGGACACAACAGGACCUGGUAUGGCUUAGCAGUGAUUAAUGCAAGCUUCUUUGACACCCACCCGCCUUUUCUUUUUGAGGGGCCUGAACUCAGGGCCUUGAUUGUGCUAGACAAAUGCUCGGCCACUAAGCUAAAUCCCCAGCCUCCAUGCUUCUUUGAUUUUGCCAGAAAUCUGUUUAGGUGUUUGGUAGGCAUUAUUAGCUGCUUUUAUAGGGGAGGAAAAUUAGACACAGGAGAGGUUUAUGUAUCCAUAAACAUUUAUUGAGCGUCUAUGUUUCAGGCACACAGUCAGUUAACAUAGCUCUCGGGUGGUGUUUUUUUUUUUUUGUUUUUGUUUUUCUUUUGGUACCAGGGAUUCAACCCAGGGCACUUAACCACUGAGCCACAUCCCCAGCCCUUUUACUUUUCAUUAUUUUUGAGCAGAGCCUCACUAACUUGCUGAGGCUGACUUUGAACUUGUGAUCUUCUGGCCUCAGCCUCUGGAGUUGCUGGGAUUACAGGAGUCUCUGGGAUUAUAGGCAAGCACCACCACUACUAGCCCUUAGGUGGUUCUUACAGGCAGAGAAAUAAGCAAAUUUUAAUAAAAACAGUUAACUCUUGGGGGGUGAGGGAGAGACACACGCCAAAAUUAUCAGCAUGCAAAAGAAAAACCACCAAAACUUUCAGGCUUGAUAUAUUGCCCCCUUAAGUACACAUAGCCGCCCUCCCUUUCAAUGAUACUGGGAAUUGAACCAAGGGGCACUCAACCCCUGAGCUAUAUCCUCAGCCAUUUUUAGUUUGGAUUUUGAGACAGGGUCUAGAUAAAUUGUUCAGACUAGCCUUGAACAAUUCCUGCUCCAGCCUCCCAAGUAGGAAUCACAAGUGUGCACCACCAUGUCCAGCUCAGUAUUUUUUAAAACUGCAGAUUUUUUUUUGGGGGGGGGGCGGGUAGUGGGGAUUGAACCCAGUGGUGCUUAACCACUGAGCCACAUCCUCAGCUCUUUUUAUUUAUUUUUUUUAUUUUGAGACAGGAUCUCACUGAGUUGCUUCGGGCCUUGCUAAAUUGCUGAGGCUGGGUUUGAACUUGCAACCCUGUAAUCCCAUGGCCUCCUGAGCCCCUGGGAUUACACCCACUGCACCUGGCUUGAUAUUUUUCCUUUCCUCCCUCCCUCCCUCCCUCCCUCCCUCCCUCCCUCUCCUCUCCUCUCCCUUCCUUGCUUGCUUGUUUUCUUUUCUUUCUUUCUUUGCUGGUGAUGAAACCCAGGGCCCUCUAAGUGCUGGGAAGGGGCUCUACCACUGAACAACAUCUCCAGCUCUGGACUUCAUCUUUUAUUAAGAUCAAUGAAAAUGUCACAUUUGCUUUGAACAAAAUAAAUGUACCACUUGAAGUGUUGAAUAUUCAAGUGUUAUUCAAGCUGUCAAGACUGACAGCUUCAUCAUACCCCCAAACAGAUAUUUAAAAAUUCACUUUCAGAGCAGAUAUCCAAGUUGGUUGGUUUCUUUUCUUUUUUAGAUAAAUUUUUUGGUACCAGGGAUUGAACUCGGGGGCACUCAAGCACUGAGCCACAUCCCUAGCCCUAUUUUGUAUCUUAUUUAGAGACAGGGUCUCACUGAGUUGCUUAGUGCCUCUCCAUUGCUGAGGCUGGCUUUGAACUCUUAAUCCACCUGCCUCAGCCUCCCAAGCUGCUGGGAUUACAGGCAUGCACCACCAUGCCUGGCCCAAGUUGGUUUCUUGCUAAGUUUAUUGGAAGUGAAAUCUUAUAAGAUCACAGGGGUUACCCAGGCUCAAUGGUACAUGCCUAUAAUACCAGAGACAGGACAGCAAGUUUGAGGCCAGCCUAAGCCCUAAGCAAUUUAGCAAGACCCCACCUCAAAAAAUAAAUAAGUAAAUCAGGUGGGGGAUGUUGCUCAGUGGUAAAGUACCUCUGGUUCAAUUCCCAGUGCAAAAAAAAAAAAAAAAAAUCACACAGAACAACUUUCCAUGAGAUAAAGUAGAUGUAAGAUUACGCUAAGGAAUAACAAAUGCUAGCAUAGUGGGCCCACUGACUCUGGAGGCUGAGGCAGGAGGGUUAUAAGUUCAAGGCCAGCCUCAGCAAUUUAGUAAGAUCCUAUCUCAAAAAAUAAAGAGGGUUGGGGAAUGUACUUCAUGGAUAAAGUACCCCUGGGUUCAAUCCCCAGUACUGAGAAAAUAAAAACUCUAUCCUACCUAAAAACCAGGGGAAAAAAGCCACAACCAAUUUUCUGUAAUGUAUAAACAUGAGACACAUGGGGCGUGAUUAUUACAAAUCAAGGUAGCCAUGCAGUCCUUGGUUACCAGGUCUUGUGAUCAUGCUGGAAAAUUUUCAGAUAUGUUGCUAAGAGUACCUGGUAUGAGAAGGGAUAGGAAAGAGGGGAAAGGGGACACUAAUAUAUAUAUAUAUAUA
rnacentral:lncRNA from 1 species